rnacentral:ncRNA from 1 species
AAAAAGUUUUAUUUUAGCUUAGAAAUUAAGUAUUAUUUUUUAUUAUAUGUAAAUUUUUUUAAAGAAUAGUUUGCAGUAAAAAGAAUUAUUAAUUUAAGAAAUUAAGAAUUAGAAAUAAUAAAAAUUAUAAACUAAAUUUGUGCCAGCAGUUGCGGUUAUACAAAUUAUAUAAAUUAAUUUUAUUAAUUUUAAUUAAUUAGAUGAAAAUUUUAAAAUUAAAUUUUUUUAGUGAAAUUUUAAAUUUUUAAUAAAAUUUGAUUUAGAUAAUGAUAUUAGGAAAUUUAAAAUAUAAACUAGGAUUAGAUACCCUAUUAUUUUAAAUGUGAUUUUUUUAUUUAAUUAGUAUUAGUUAUGAUCUUGAAAAUUAAAAAAUUUGGCGGUAUUUUAUUCUAUUCAGAGGAACCUGUUCUAUAAAUGAUAUUCCACGAUUUAAUUUACUUUUAUUAUUAAUUUAUAUAUCGUCGUUAUUUAAAUAUUUUUGUAGAAUUUUAAUAUUUAAAAUUUUUAAUAAAAAAAUAUUUCAGAUCAAGGUAUAGUUUAUAUAAAAGUAGAAAUGGGUUACAUUAAAUUAAUUUUAGGAUUUAAAUUUUUAAAAUUUAAUUAAUUUGGAUUUGAUUGUAAUUUAAAUUAAUUUAUUUAAAUGAUUUUAGUAUUAAAAUAUGUACAUAUUGCCCGUCACUUUCAUUUAAUAUGAAAUAAGUCGUAACAAAGUAGAUUUACUGGAAAGUGAAUCUAGAUUUUA